rnacentral:rRNA from 1 species
UACGGGAGGGGCAAGCGUUAUUCAUCAUGACUGGGCGUAAAGAGUCCGUAGACUGUAAAGUAAGUUAAUUGUUAAAGAUUAAAGCUCAACUUUUAAACAGCUUUUAAUACUGCUUUACUUUGAGUUUUAUACAGAAGAGUGGAAUUCUAUGUGUAGGGGUAAAAUCCGAAGAUACAUAGAGGAAUGCCGAAAGCGAAGGCAACUCUUUAGGAAAAACUGACGUUGAGGGACGAAAGUAUGGGGAGCAAACAGG